AUAUCUAUUUGUAUAUAGAUACUUUAUUCUUUAUUGUUAUAUUUAAUCUGAAGAUCAUUGUGAUUCAUAUAGAUUUUGGAAUUCAAUAUAGUAAUGUGGUGUUUGAUAGUGUUGUUGAGUUCAUUUGGGAUUUUGUUUUGGAUUAGUCAAAAGUUCAUUAAGACUUGCAGCAAUCUUUAUGUGUAAUCUAAUCUAGUCGUUCAGUCUGCUCAAAUAUUGGUAAACGGACUAGAACACCGGCCCUCUUUCAUCUCAACUGUUGAUCUACAACUACUUGGUAGUCUACACUUCAUGCUAGACAAACUAAAGAUGAGUAGUAUCUCUACUAUAUCCGUGUGAUUCUGCGUCACAAUCAGGUACACCCCAAAACGAAAGUCUUACCGCGGUAGUUGUCUUUGUCUUCAGCCUUACAUUGUAUGGAAUAGUUAUAAUUGAAUGUUCUAAAUCUUCUAAAUACAAGUCUUUUGCAUGCAUGCUGGAGUUCUGAUGUUUUAUUUUUGUUUUGUCAAUUGAGUGCUAGGUAAUGUUUCUUUCCAUACGUAAUCAUGUUUGUGACGCCUAUUGAGUUUAAUUAAUUUAAUUUUUUUAUUAAAUUAUGUUGUAAUAUUUUCUUUUAUUAUGUUUUGUGUUUGAUUAGCAUACUUAGGAAUUGAAAUAUGAAUUUGUUUCAAGCAUGAAGUCUGUUUUGAAACAAUAAUAUAAAGGGUUUGAUACACUAAUCUUAAACUAUGAAUUUUACGAUCCUUCACUUAGUUUGAGCUAAUUAUCCAUCCUUAUGCAUGACCAUAACUAAAAAAUUUCUUUUAACAUAGAAAUCCUAUUUAUCUGGAAUUGCAUUAGAAUCACUACACAACAAACCUGAGUUUUACGGUUUCCUAGUUUCUUAGUUAGGUCUAGAUCUACCGAGUACUCUUGAUUCUUUUGUGAUUAUGUUUGAGAUUAUUCUUGUAAUAUCUGCUGGUCAUUUCAGGGGAGAUAGCUCAACAGUACACUGGACUUUGAAGCUUUGAUGGAGAUUAUCAAAAACUUCGUUUACUAGUUUCUUAUAUAGUAAGAAAGUCCUCUUUUAAAUGGAUAUUAUUUUUGCAGCAGAGGCAACACAAUAUGUGAUAUAUGAGAACGCUUACGAAUGAAUGUAUAAUGAGUUGUUAAAGUUAGACUUGGGGUUAUAUUAAAUCUUGGAAUAAAAUGAAUCAAUUUUCUGUGUA
rnacentral:lncRNA from 1 species